CACUGCAUUGGCAUACGGUUCAACUGACUUUUUUACGGAGUGAAGUGCACAAAAAUGACAAGCUUUUUCUAAUAUAUUUUAAUAUAUAUUUUACAUAACGGUAUUGCGAGUAAUAUUUGGAAUAGGUGGAGCGCGGCCCGACCCGCUCCCAGUACUACCCCACCCCUCCUGGCCCAUGAAAUCAAUUAAGCGUAGAACGGCGUAACGCGAAAAUCGAUUUCGCUUUCGGCCGCGGGCGCAAGCAAUAAUAGAAACAUCAACUAGAAUGUCCCCGUACACAGUGGAUGCGGAAAAGGAGAUGACAUCGAAGGGGCACUGGAUAAAAGCAACCCAUCAGCCUGAUUCUGGCUCCUGGGGUGGACGUUGGCAAAGGACAGUGCUUCUGGCGGGGAUUAUCCUGAGUAUUUUAACGACAGGCUGCUACGCCACGGACACUGACAUCGCACUGGACGCCAAGGCCACUCUGAAUCAUCGUAUCCAAAGCCUCGAUCUGCUCGUCUUUGUGUUCCUGCUGGCCCUUACGGUUCUCACCAUAUGGCUGUUCAAGCACCAUCGAGUAUCCUGGCUGCACGAGACCGGACUGGCCGUAAUUUACGGUCUGAUUGUGGGAGCCAUAAUACGCUAUGCCGGCACCUCCACCACCCUUGUCCACAUGCAGGUUGAGCCCCAGGGCAUUCCGACGUACAGCGAUAAGCUGCCACCGGAUACUCUCUGGUUUAAGUAUCCAGUUAACCAGACCAAUAGUACCAAGCUCCCGGAGGGCAUGAGCAUUAAAACAUAUGCUUAUGUUUUCCGUGGGCAGGUCUACAAUGAGGAUGAGAAUGAAAUUGAUCUGAAGGCGACAUUUGAUCCGGAGGUGUUUUUCAAUAUCAUACUGCCCCCGAUUAUCUUCUACGCGGGGUAUAGCCUAAAAAAAAAAUAUUUCUUUCGAAAUCUGGGUGCCAUUCUUACCUUUGCCAUUGUGGGGACCACACUGUCGGCCUUCCUCAUCGGUGGCUUCAUGUACGGCUGUGCUAAGCUGAUGCCCAAUUACCUAAGCAGCAGUUUAACGUUCUUGGAUACCCUCUACUUUGGAGCCCUGAUUUCGCCCACAGACCCUCUUACCAUUUUGGCCAUUUUCAGUGACCUGAAGGUCGAUGUCAAUCUAUACGCUCUGGUUUUGGGUGAAUCUGUCUUGAACGAUGCCGUGGCUAUAGUUCUGAGCGGAGCUAUUCAAAACUAUGGAGAACACUAUUCCAACUCUGGAGAGUUCGAAACGACGGCGUUUUUGCGGUCUCUGAGCGAUUUCUUCUCCAUCUUCCUACUUUCGCUGAUGAUUGGAGCUGCGAUGGGCUGUCUGACAGCAUUGAUGACAAAGUUUACGCGGGUACGCGAUUUCCCGCUCUUGGAGUCUGCUCUAUUCGUCCUCAUGAGCUACAGCACUUUCCUGCUAGCUGAGGCCACGGAGCUGACGGGAGUGGUGGCCGUGCUCUUCUGUGGCAUCUGUCAGGCCCAUUACACCUACAACAAUCUCUCGGAGGAUUCCCGGCAGCGAACAAAACAAAUAUUUGAGUUACUGAACUUCCUGGCAGAGAACUUUAUCUUUUCCUACAUUGGAGUGUCGAUGUUUACCUUUCCAAAACAUCAUUUUGAUCCAGGAUUCAUUAUAACAGCUUUUAUCUGCGCCGCGAUAGGUCGCGCUGUCAACGUUUAUCCCUUAUCCUGGCUGCUGAAUAUUAGGCGAAAACCCCAAAUCUCAACAAACUUCCAGCACAUGCUCUUCUUUGCUGGCUUACGAGGCGCCAUGUCCUUUGCCCUGGCGAUUCGCAACACAGUGUCUGAUGCUCGACAGACCAUGUUGACGGCAACAUCCCUGAUUGUUAUCUUUACGGUCAUUAUACAAGGUGGAGCGGCGAAUUUUCUGCUCAAUUGGUUGAAAAUACCUGUUGGGGUUGACGAUGAGACUGAACAAUUAAAUAAUUACCAAGUGCACAGUGUUUACAAUUCAAUGGACAAUUCACAUCCGCAGACGUCUGAUGGCUACUUGCAGGAUGUGGAGGGCGGUGGCGGAGGACGCGGCAAGUUGCGUAUCUCGGGAGGCACGGAGUCCAACUUGGACACGCCAAUCGAUGGUCCAAACGGAAGCUUGGGCGGUACUAGUGGCGGUCGUCGCCGCAAUAGUCAUGAAAAGGCAAUUCUCGCCAGGAUCUGGGGAAGCUUUGACACCAAGUACAUGAAACCGCUGCUGACCCACUCGAGACCCACACUCCUAGAGACUCUGCCCGUUUGUUGCAAUCCCAUCGCCAGGCUGCUCACCACCACGCAGCAACUGACACAGGAUGGUAGCGAGUUCCGGCGUGUCGACUCGGACUCCGAUAUAUGCAUAGACAAUGACACUGGCAAUGGCCUUAGCCAGGACGGGGGGCCGGCAGGUGGGCCAGGAUCAGGAACAGGCGCAAGUGUGGGGCGGCGCAACUCACUUAGUCGCUCAAUCCAAUUAAAUGCGGCCAAUCACCUUGAAAAUGAUCUCAGCCUGGUUACUAAUAAUUUCAUGUAAAAAGAUUUCUCCGGACUAAACGGGCGAUUUAAAAAAAAACAAUCUUAUAUUUAGAGAGUUUCUUUAGUAUUUUUAAUAUCCAACCUUUGUUUGUUUUUUGUCUACUUUUCCUUGGUAAAACAAAUAUUGUAUGUACUAAAUAUGGUGGCACAGACGGAGACCCAAACAUAAUGAUAACCGUAGUCCAGAGAGCCUGUCUGUCAGUCUAAGAAAUGAUUAACCAAUGGCUUCUUAUAGCGCACUGCUGUUAAGAUCUUCGUUUCUAUUGUACAAUUUUAAUUUUUGUAUUUAUUUCCAUAAUCUUAUUUCUUAGAUACUAACACGCGACUAACCAUGUUGAAGACGAGCAUCGAAACGUUUAUACUUAAGUUUACUUUUUUGUUAUUUAUUUUAAUUGGUCUCAUUUGAAAUGAAAAAUAUGGAAAAAUGUACAAAUUAGAUUAUUACUCUUAUGUUUCUUCUUGUUUAAACAAUGUGAUUUGGAACUGUAGUUAUACAAAUAAAUAAAUUAGCGUUUACUGAUACCGAUCGAAUUAAAAAUUGAGUUAGGUCUUUGCUGAAACUGGCUACCAAUCAUCGAGCUCACACAAUAUGAAUCACCUAUACCUUAUCACACAAAUAAAUAUUAAGUCCAUUGUUUCAA